rnacentral:rRNA from 1 species
GACGUAGGGCGCGAGCGUUGUCCGGAUUUAUUGGGCGUAAAGAGCUCGUAGGCGGCUCGUUGCGUCGGCUGUGAAAACCCGCAGCUCAACUGUGGGCUUGCAGCUGAUACGGGCGGGCUGGGAUUCGGUAGGGGAGACUGGAAUUCCUGGUGUAGCGGUGAAAUGCGCAGAUAUCAGGAGGGACACCGGUGGCGAAGGCGACGUCCUGGACCGGCAUUGACGCUGAGGCGCGAAAGCCAGGGGAGCAAACGGG